AGGUGAUGGGAACUGGGGGGAGCAAAGAGUGGGGAACUGGGCAGGGUCUGGCGGGGCUGUGGUGGGGGAAGCUGAAGCAUGAAGGCUCGAGGAGCACACAGACACCUACACACAGCUCCGCGGGCAUGUGGGGACCCAGACCCACCCCCACAGCAGACACCCCCACAGAGCACUCAUGGCCCCCACAGAAAUACACCCACACUCAUCACAGCAAACCAAAACAAUCACACGCCGGUACACAAACACACACACCCCCGCACCAAUCCAGGCAGACACAAAGCUCACGGCGACAGGCAGAUCUGAUUCACACAGACACAGGCACAGGUGCUUCCUGAUGCCACCCUCUCUUGGUCACGUGCCAGCACUUGGAGGGAGGAAAGUGCCUCACCAGGCUGAGAUGCCCAAGGGACCCCCCAGGGAGGGAAAGCAGGACACACUGGGACAGUUGCUUCCAGCCCUGUCCACACCCUUGUGCCCAUCAGGCCAAGCCACUGGUGAAUAUGCUGCAAAAAAUAUGCUGGAACUUCUAUGAAUACCACAGGGUGUGAGAAGAAAACAUUAGAACUUCUAUUUUGUACCUGUGUUACUCCACAACAAGAAAGCAAUCAGCUUGAUCAAUGCCUACUGUAAAGACGGCACCGCCCUCCGGAGGUCCUUUCUCAGCCCUGGUGUUCGGACAGCCACAUCCCCUCGCAGCAGGGGGAGGCCUGAAGCAUAGAGGGGCCCAUGCAGGUCUAUUCUGUUUCAGCGAAUUGCCUGGGAAAUAAUCCAGGAUCCAUUUCGUGUGGUCAUCUUGUCUCCCUGGUCCCCUCCAGCCUUUCCUCAUCUUUUGUGACCUGGUCACUCUGGAAGGGCGCUGGCCAGUUAGUCCACAGGAUGGGCCUCCCCUGGGGCUUUUCUGAUGCUUCCUUAUGAUGGCACUGGCAUCCUGAGGGGGAGGACCACAGAGAGGAGGUGCUCCUCAUCACACCACAUGGGGGUCCAUGCACCAGUGCCACUGCUUUCCAGGGCUCUUCACCUUCAUCACUGGUGGAGGUGGCGUCUGCCAAGAAGCAGAAAGUUGAGGCUUAGAAGGUGCACGGCCCUACCUCUUCCGAGGUGCCCCUGCGGGCUGUCUACAGACCAGGCAGCACAUGCCUGAUAGCAGCUGCAUAAGGAAAAGCAGGAGCCAGCUCGUGCACAGUGGCCUCAAGUGUGCACUGGGCAUGUUCUCUGCCUCACCAUCCCUGUGUGACAGAUGAAGCUUCAAGGACCACAGAGGGCCAAGUGCAGGAGUAAGAGGCUGGCGUGCUGACAGUGGCCAAGGGCAUUGGAGGGAAGGACCUGUCAUCACUGGGCCAAGGAAGGAACUCCAGACUGCCUACUUCCAGAGGGCCUGCUGAGAACCCCAAAGAGCUCUCUCAACAAACACACCCACGAGUUCCAGGAGUGAGGCUGCAGGGAACAGCCUCACUCUCAGAGGGGAUACAGAAUUGUUCCACUGGACAAGGGCUGGGAUCGUCAUAGGAUGCCGUUGGCCUGUGGUUUCCAACAGAGGUGCAGUUCAUUGAACUGUGGUCUACAGUCCAUUCUCUAACUUGGGGACCCUUGAAGAAGUGUGGAAUCAUGACAACAACCCUGUUGGGAGACACUAUUAUUCCCAUCACAUGGAUGAGCACACGGAGGCAAAAGGAAGUUAUAUGAUUGUCUGAGAUCACCCAGUGAAGACUGUGUGGCUGGGAGUUGUCCCCAGUGUUAUCUGCACGCUGCUUCCUUUUGAUGCCUGGCCCUUCUUUAUCAAAAGAAGCAUUGGCAGAAUCUGGGUGUUUAUGGGUCAGCUCAAAAU
rnacentral:lncRNA from 1 species